rnacentral:rRNA from 1 species
UACGAAGGGGGCUAGCGUUGUUCGGAAUUACUGGGCGUAAAGCGCGCGCAGGCGGUCCUUCAAGUCAGAGGUGAAAGCCCAGAGCUCAACUCUGGAACGGCCUUUGAAACUAGAGGACUUGGGUACGGGAGAGGUGAGUGGAAUUCCGAGUGUAGAGGUGAAAUUCGUAGAUAUUCGCAAGAACACCAGUGGCGAAGGCGGCUCACUGGCCCGGUACUGACGCUGAGGCACGAAAGCGUGGGGAGCAAACAGG